AUCUCAGCUGCCAAGUCAUCAAGCCAAAUCGAAGGAUGUCUCAUGUCCUUCACUUGGUCUGUUUUGAGGAACACAUCAGUGUUUAAUGCUGAGCUGGACUAUAGCCUUGAAACCGCAGAAGGACUGGAUUUGGAAAGAUGCAGCCUUCUGUUUGAGAAGCACCCAGUGACUCAUUGAACUGAGAACUGUCUCUCUUAAUAACCCAAGAACCGUUGAAAAGAGUCUUCAGACCUUCAAGUCACACAGUCUGCGGUGCAACGUGCAAUGAGGACGCAAGGUCGUUUUUGAUGACGAAGCCUUCAACCCACAUUCCAUUAGAGUGACUGCUCGAGGUGAUGAUGAAAACAUCAAAACCAAAUAACAUCCUGACUUAAUGAACCUCACAGGCCCCGAGCCAAAAAGGACUGGUCGCACUAGGGGGCACUAUUGAUGCACCCAGUAUUGCUGAUCUUCCCCUCUCUACUGGGGGGAACCACCCCUUUCAUCUCCAACUAAGCUUUAAUUGUUUAUUUUAUAAUGUGUGAGUGUUAAUUUGAGAAACACUCACACACAGACACUUUAUCCUCAGCAGGUUUGAUGAUGACAUCAAUCUUAAUGCACUAUUUAUUUUUAGAACUGUCAUCCCAGUCAUUGUGAUGAACAAUUUCAAAUAAAACAGUAUAAUUGUGAGUCCUUGUUUUAAAAAAAGGGGCUUCAGUGCAA